rnacentral:rRNA from 1 species
GGAGGGUGCAAACGUUGCUCGGAAUUACUGGGCGUAAAGCGCAUGUAGGCGGGUCUAUCAAGUCUCGUGUGAAAGCCCUGGGCUCAACCCAGGAAGUGCACGGGAAACUGGCAGACUAGAGUACGGUAGAAGUGGGCGGAAUUCCGGGUGUAGAGGUGAAAUUCGUAGAUAUCCGGAGGAACACCAGUAGCGAAGGCGGCUCACUAGCCCGAUACUGACGCUGAGAUGCGAAAGCGUGGGGAGCAAACAGGAUUAGAUACCCUGGUAGUCCACGCCGUAAACGAUGGAUACUAGGUGUUGGAGGCUUGACCCCUUCAGCGCCGAAGCUAACGCGAUAAGUAUCCCGCCUGGGGAGUACGGUCGCAAGACUA